CCGUAAGAAUAAGCACCGGCUAACUACGUGCCAGCAGCCGCGGUAAUACGUAGGGUGCAAGCGUUAAUCGGAAUUACUGGGCGUAAAGCGUGCGCAGGCGGUUAUGUAAGACAGAUGUGAAAUCCCCGGGCUCAACCUGGGAACUGCAUUUGAGACUGUAUAGCUGGAGUGCGGCAGAGGGGGAUGGAAUUCCGCGUGUAGCAGUGAAAUGCGUAGAUAUGCGGAGGAACACCGAUGGCG
rnacentral:rRNA from 1 species